UCGUCGUUACAGUGAAGGGCUAUCAACAUCUGAAACAAUAACAAACAGUCAACAGCAAAUGGUGGAUCUAACUACAGCCUGUGGUUACACAGAUACCGGCUCAAUCUGAAAAAACCUUAACUGUUGUGCAUCCCUUGAAGGACAUAACCCGUAGUCAAAAUAUUUCCAAACCAAAUGUGCUCUCGGAACCACAAAAUAACAAACUGUCUAAGUCAAUUGUUAAUUCAAAUGCAGUCAUUCCAAAUGAUCUCAACCAAGUUAAUCUUAUUCCAAUCCACGAUAGUGAGGCCAAUAACUCAUUCAUGUAUAGUCCUUGUUUCUGUAAUGUUGUUAGGUUGAACGAAGAUAUGAUUAUUUGCAAUAACAUAUCAUGUCGUGUGCGUGAAUAUCACAAAUGUUGUCUAUACUUAAAUUAGGGAAGAAAAGGUUUGGUGAGAACUGGAAAUGUGAUACGUGUAAAAUAGCUGCAAAGAAAUCUGUUGUCAAGAAACCGUUGAGGUAAAUCAAUUGAUUGUAUUGAAAGAAACGUGAUAAUUAAAGAAACUCAGUAAUACAAUGUUUGCCAAAUGGCACAAUA